AAGAAUUCCUCACAGUAGAAUUUGAAGCUAAUGAACCAGUCAGAGAACCAUAUGUUCUCUGACUCUGAAGUCGAAUGGGAGGCUGUUGAAGUGGUUACACUUCGACUGGCACAAGGACUCGGGCAGGCGGCGGACCCACAUGCACAGCACGGAGGCAGGAUUACGAUCAAAAAAAGGUUUAUUUCUUAAGGCACGGUCAGACGGUCCAGGUCAUACACAAAAUGGUCACGGCAAAAAUACAGGCAGGGAUCAGGCAAACUCACGGUCAGUAGCAGUCCAGGGUCAGGCAGGAUACACGGAGACACAGGAAACUCGGAACAAAGAAACACGAACGAAACUCGGAACACUCAUGAAACACAGCCGGAUGGAAACAAGGUACUGGAACACGGAACACGAAAACA